rnacentral:sRNA from 1 species
UAUCCAAAUAUUCCCUUUCYAAAAAUUWAAUUUUUCCUGAAAAUUUUAAUUCCUACCCCCUAAUUUCAGAAAAAAGUGGAUUUAGAUUUUAUUUUUAUUAGUAAAAGCAUUUAAGGGAUUUGAAUAAUAAGAAUWUUCAUCAAAAGCAAAUUCAGGUAUUUCAUAAAAACCCCAAUCCAGGUUGUUAAAAUUAUUUAAAGWAAAUAGAGCAUUUAAUCUAAAAAUAUAUAGAAAAAUGAAAUUKUCUUGCUUAAAAAUUAAUUUAUUSCACCUAUAUUAAUAUUUAACCCUCCUAUUAAUCUUACUGUGUUAAAUAAAGUUUUAGUAUUAUUAUAUUUAUUAUAUAAAUAUUUGAUAAUUUCAUUUUUAGUAAAAAAAAUUAAAUAUAUUCAAUAAAAACAAUCAACUGAUAAAGGGAUUCGGAACCCAUAACCUCCUGAUUACAAAUCAGCGGCUCUACCAUUGAGCUACAUCAGCAAAAAAAUUUAUCCUCGAAUUAAAAGCAAAAAUUUGCUAAAAAUAUUACUAUUUUUAUACAAUUUUUCUUUUGUAAUAAAUAUUCUUUUUAAUUUCUUACUCAUUUUUAUGAACAGAAUAUUAAUCUUAAAGUUUUUUCCUACUUAUAUGCUUUCAGUAGUUAUUUUUAUUAAACUUAGCUACUCAGUAAAAUACUUAUGAUAAAAUAACUGAACUACUAUAGGUUUAAUUUCCUUGGUCCUCUCGUACUAAAGGAAAUACUUGGCAAUAUUCUUACGUUUACAUCGGAUACGGACCGAACUGUCUCACGACGUUCUGAACCCAGCUCACGUGCCGCUUUAAUGGGCGAACAGACCAACCCUUGAGACCUGCUACAGCCUCAGGAUGCGACGAGCCGACAUCGAGGUGCCAAACCUCCCCGUCAAUAUGGACUAUCGGGAGAGAUCAGCCUGUUAUCCCUAGAGUAACUUUUAUCCGUUAAGCGACAAUCCUACCACUUAGAGUUGUCGGAUCACUAAGACCGACUUUCGUCCUUGUUCAAGUAGUUACUCUUACAAUCAAGCCUUUUUACUAUUUAACCUUUACAUUUAUUAAUUUUAAUAUUUUAUUUUUAUUAAAAUAAAAGACCUUUDUGCACCUCCGUUACUCUUURGGAGGCAACCGCCCCAGUCAAACUACCUCUUUGAAUUUUUAUAUAAUAUGAUAAAAAAAUUAUAGUUAGAAAUUAAAGUUUAUUAAAGUGGUGUUUCAUUAGUAGUAUAAACUUCCCACUUACACUAUAUAAAUAAAAUUUAAUUUCAAUUUCAAAUUGCAGUAAAGCUUCAUAGGGUCUUUCUGUCCUGAUGUGAAAAGUCUGUAUCUUUACAAACAUUUCUAUUUCACCGAAUAUUUCUUAAAGACAGUGUUCAAGUCGUUACACCUUUCGUGCGGGUCGGAACUUACCCGACAAUGAAUUUCGCUACCUUAGGACCGUUAUAGUUACAGCCGCCGUUUCUAGAGCUUAUAAAAAAAUUAUUUGUAUUACAUAAAAAUUCUUUUUAACUUACUAGCACUGGGCAGGUGUCAGUAUCCUUACUUCAUAAUUACAUUUUGCGGAUACCUUGUUUUUGAUAAACAGUCGCUUGAACUUUUUAAUUGCAGCCUUAUAGGCAUCCUUUAUCCCGAAGUUACAGGAUUGUUUUGCCGAGUUCCUUAAAGAAAUUUAUUUCGUCCUCUUAGUACAUUAUAGUACCUACUCCCUUGUGUCAGUUUUAGUACGGGCAUAUUUAUAAUUAUGCAAUAUCAUUUUUCUAGCAAAAAUUUUAUUUUUAAGUAAAAAAUCAUUUAUUUUAAUUACCUAAAAUUUAUAUUCAGGUCACUAAUUGUAUAUUAAUAUAUAAUAUGGUUCAAGAAUAUUAACUUGAUUCCCAUCAAUUACAAAAAUUUCUUAUCUUAGCCCCGACUAACCCUAUGCGGUUUACCCUUUCAUAGGAACCUUUGAGUUUUUGAGGUAUUAGAUUCUUCUUAAUAUUUAACGUUACUUAAACCGACAUUCUCACUUCUACUUUAUUCACAAAAUUUAAUAACUUUGCUUUAUUUUAAUGUAGAACGCUCCCCUACCGAUCUAUCUUAUUAAUAAUAGAUCCCAUUACUUCGAUAAAAAAAUAUUUUAUUGUUCAUUUUAGGUGCAGAAUUACUUUACCAGUAAGCUUUUACGCACUUUUUAAAGGAAAACUGCUUCUAAGCUUACCUUCUGGUUGUAUAUGUAACAACUCCACAUCCUUUAAAAUUUUCGUUAUAUUCUUAUCUUAGUUAAUGGUCUGGGUUGUUUCCCUUUUGACUUAUAAGAUUAUCCCUAAAAGUCUCACUUAUUAUAAUGGUAAUAUAAAAAUAUUAUUAGUUUAUAGUAAUUAAAAAAAUAGUGCUUUACCCUUUUUAUAUAUAUUAUAAUAGCUGCGCCUCAAUACAUUUCGGGGAGAACCAGCUAGCUCCAAAUUCGACAAGCAUUUCACAACUAACCUCAUUUCUUCUGAUAUUUUGCAGCAUUAAUCAGUUCGAACUUCUAUAUAAAGUUAUUUAUAUUUCAUUCUGAACAAGGUUAUAUCAAUUGGAUUCGGGUUCGGGUUUUUGGUCAUAUACAAACGCUAUUACUAAUUGUAAUAACUCGUUUUCACUAUGGCUUCAAGCUUAAUUUUAGCCUUUUGCUUAAAAACCAAAACUUAUCGGUUCCUUCUUCAACAGGCAAAUAGUUAGGUUCAUAUACCCUUCUAUUGUUUUUAGGAUUAAAAUUUCAGUCUCUUUUCACUCCCUCCCGGGGUUCUUUUCAUCUUUCCCUCACGGUACUAGUCCACUAUCGGUUACUUUAAAGUAUUUAGUUUUACAAGGAAGUUCUUGUUUCUUCAAUAUAAACUAGUUGUUUAUAUUUACUUUACUUUAUUUAAACUAAACGUAUAACGUUUUUUAUCCCUACUCGUUCGCCACUACUAAGGGAAUAAUUGUUAUUUUUUUUUCCUUUGAGUACUAAGAUGAUUCAGUUCCUCAAGUAAAUCAUUUUUAAUUUAAAAAAAUAUUAAAAGUUCCCCUAUUCGGAAAUCUUAUUUUAAAGUAUGCAUAUAAUCAGCUCUAAAUAAGUUUUUCGUAAAUUAUCUACGUCCUUCAUCGUCUUAAAGUACCUAGACAUCCUUUUAUCCUAUAAUUAAAAUUUUAUUUACUUUCAUUUACUUAUAUCCCAUAUAUAUGUUAUUUUUAUAAAAACGAGAAGCGGAUUUGAACCGCUGACUUCGGGUCAUGAGCCCGACGAGCUACCAACCUUG